CAUAAUAGAGACGGACAAGUUCUCUUAUUUAAAGAGUACCUGAAGUGAGGGAACAAAACCCCAAAUCACCUGGGAUGGUGUGGGCCUAACUGCACUGCAACCUGAUGGAAAGGAAGAGCCAGGGUCCUGGACCUACAACCUGACUGCUGUGGCACCCAUUCUGCCCACCAGUUCUUGAGGGUACAGCUUUUCAGGAAACACAGUGAGAGAGAGAGAGAACACAAGCAGGUCCAGGCCGAGUGGGAGAAGGAGAAGCAGGCCUCCCAUGGAGUAGGAAGCCCCAUGUGGGGCUAGAUCCCAGGACCCUAGGAUCGCGACCUGAGCUGAAGGCAGAUGCCCAAUAACUGAGCCACCCAAGCACCCCUGAGGGAAGAUCUUAUGAGGAUCAUCCAUAAAUGUCCCGAGACACAGCAGAGGGCCAAGAAUGGCAUGGUAGGCAAAAGACAGAGGCUCUGAGUCCACAAAUGGAUUUCUGUUUGGACACUUAAGAAGAAGUGACAUCAAGAGCAGCAACCUAGCCUACUGCACUCAUGGUGAGACCCCAAGCUGAUUCUCAGACGAUGCCACUGCCAUUCAUAAUUCAAGCUUUCAGCAAGGCUCACUACAGUGCACGAAGAAGACAGAAGUCCUAUUCUCUAUGUUACAUCCCCAGCAUCCGCAAUACAGUCUGACGUGUGGUGGGCGGCCUCGGAAUAUCUGAGAGGUAACAUAGGAAUUCCGACCAGUUGAAAACUGAUAACCACAGAUGUGACAUAUGCAAAGUAAAAAGAGAAAUCCGUGGAGGAAGGAGAAGCAGAAGAAUCUGCUAUCCUGAGAAUCAAGGCCGAAAGUGUCAGCACGAGGGAAGAAUGGAUGCAGUUAAGAGGAAUGGAGUGAAGAGGGCGCUAGACUUUGUAUUAGGUUCUUUUCCUGUUCAUAUUCUGUCUGCUGACUCUCAGUCACGUGACUUUUUUGCAG